GGCUGGAUCACCUCCUUUCUAAGGAGACUAUCCGGCAAGACCGGACAGUCUAUCUAGGUCAAUCCCGUCAAUAUCGUCUACUAUUUAGUUUUGAGAGACCAAGGCCUCGAAGCAUCGAGGUUUUUCGUUCUUUGCAAUCAAAGUGAAGCGUGGUUAGCGAUGAUAAGGCCUAGCGGCCAGUUUUGAGUAAUGAAAUAUGAGUUAUGAGUUAAAAACUCAAAACUCAAAACUAAGAACUCCUAACUGCCUUAAUGGGCCUGUAGCUCAGCUGGCUAGAGCACACGACUGAUAAUCGUGAGGUCGAUGGUUCGAGUCCAUCCAGGCCCACCACUUAUCUUGGGGGUGUAGCUCAGCUGGGAGAGCACCUGCCUUGCACGCAGGGGGUCAUCGGUUCGAACCCGUUCACCUCCACCAAGUUAGUAUGGGCGAAAAGUAUUUAGCCCGUACAAUGUUCUUUGACAAUUGCAUAAGUGAUUUGUAGUAGGCGUAGAUGCCGCGAAUCGUGAAUUGAAAGUCGUGAAUCGGAGCAAUCCGGGUCUCGAGUUUCGAGGAGUGAUUGUCGGCAGUACGAACGGGUAGAAUUGAUUGUAUAACAGUUUUUUUAUGGUCAAGCUACAAAGGGCGUACGGUGGAUGCCUAGGCAGAGAGAGGCGAUGAAGGACGUGGUAAGCUGCGAUAAGCUUCGGUGAGCCGCUAAACAGGCUUUGACCCGGAGAUUUCCGAAUGGGGAAACCCACUGGAGGUAAUGCUCCAGUAACAUACAGUAAAUACAUAGCUGUAUGUGGCGAACGGGGGGAACUGAAACAUCUAAGUACCCCCAGGAAGAGAAAACAAUAGUGAUUCCGUCAGUAGCGGCGAGCGAACGCGGACAAGCCCAAACCCGUAUCACUUCGGUGGUAUGGGGGUUGUGGGGCCAGUUGGGGAUAUCCCGAGAAGUUACAAAAUUCAUGUAUAGUCGAGCCGUCUGGAAAGUCGGGCCAUAGUGGGUGAUAGCCCCGUAGGCGAAAUGCAUGGAUCUUCUUGAACUGGUACCCGAGUACCGCCAGACACGUGGAACCUGGUGGGAAUCUGGGAGGACCAUCUCCCAAGGCUAAAUACUACUCUCUGACCGAUAGUGAACCAGUACCGUGAGGGAAAGGUGAAAAGUACCCCAAUGAGGGGGGUGAAAUAGAACCUGAAACCGUAUGCCUACAAGCAGUGGGAGCACUAUGGCGCAAGCCAGUGUGACCGCGUGCCUUUUGCAUAAUGAGUCAGCGAGUUACUCUUUGCAGCGAGGUUAAGCGCAUAGCGUGGAGCCGCAGCGAAAGCGAGUCUUAAUAGGGCGAUUGAGUUGCAGGGAGUAGACCCGAAACCGAGUGAUCUAUCCAUGUCCAGGGUGAAAGGAAGGUAACACUUCGUGGAGGCCCGAACCCACUGGCGUUGAAAAGCCAGGGGAUGAGGUGUGGAUAGGAGUGAAAGGCUAAUCAAACUCGGAGAUAGCUGGUUCUCCCCGAAAUAUAUUUAGGUAUAGCCUCACAAAGUAAGUAGCGGGGGUAGAGCACUGGAUGGGCUAGGGGUCCUACCAGAUUACCAAACCUAACCAAACUCCGAAUACCGCUAACUGUUAUUGUGGGAGUCAGACUGCGGGUGAUAAGAUCCGCGGUCGAAAGGGAAACAGCCCAGACCGUCAGCUAAGGUCCCAAAAUCUAUGCUAAGUGGAAAACGAUGUGGAAACGCCCAGACAACCAGGAGGUUGGCUUAGAAGCAGCCACCCUUUAAAGAAAGCGUAAUAGCUCACUGGUCAAGUGGGUCUGCGCGGAAAAUGUAACGGGGCUAAGCAUAGUACCGAAGCUACGGAUUGGCGUCUUAAGGCGCCAGUGGUAGGGGAGCAUUGUGUAAGCCUGCGAAGGUCGACCGCGAGGACGGCUGGAGGUAUCACAAGAGAUUAUGCUGACAUGAGUAGCGAAAAUGCGGGCGAGAAACCCGCACACCGAAAACCCAAGGUUUCCUAGGUAAAGGUAAUCUUCCUAGGGUUAGUCGGUCCCUAAGGCGAGGCCGAAAGGCGUAGUUGAUGGGAAACAGGUUAAUAUUCCUGUACCACCUGUGAAUGCGAUGGGGGGACGGAGAAGGGUAGGCGAUCCGGGUACUGGUUAUCCCGGUUUAAGCGAGUAGGCGGGCGAGGGAGGCAAAUCCCCCUUGCUGUUAACGUCGAGACGUGAUGACGAGAGCGGAUGCUCAUAAAGUCGUUGAUCCCAUGCUUCCAAGAAAAGCCUCUAAGCUUCAGUUCACAGGUGACCGUACCGUAAACCGACUCAGGUGGGUGAGGAGAAAAUCCUAAGGUGAUUGAGAGAACACUGGUUAAGGAACUCGGCAAAAUGAUACCGUAACUUCGGGAGAAGGUAUGCCCCCAUCAGGUGUAGCGAUACGCACGUGAAGCCGAAGGGGGUCGCAGAGAAAUGGCGGUAGCGACUGUUUACUAAAAACACAGGACUCUGCUAAGUCGAAAGACGACGUAUAGGGUCUGACGCCUGCCCGGUGCCGGAAGGUUAAGGGGAUUUGUUAGCCGCAAGGCGAAGCUUUGAACCGAAGCCCCGGUAAACGGCGGCCGUAACUAUAACGGUCCUAAGGUAGCGAAAUUCCUUGUCGGGUAAGUUCCGACCUGCACGAAUGGCGUAACGAUUUCCGCGCUGUCUCAACCAGUGGCUCAGCGAAAUUGAAUUCUCGGUGAAGAUGCCGAGUACCCGCGGCAAGACGGAAAGACCCCGUGCACCUUUACUACAGCUUGACAGUGACAUUCGGAAUAGUUUGUGUAGGAUAGGUGGGAGACUAUGAAGCCGGUACGCCAGUUUCGGUGGAGUCAACCUUGAAAUACCACCCUGGUUGUUUUGGAUGUCUAACCCAGGCCCGUCAUCCGGGUCGGGGACACUGUCUGGUGGGUAGUUUGACUGGGGCGGUCGCCUCCCAAAGAGUAACGGAGGCGCG
rnacentral:misc_RNA from 1 species